UACAGAGGGUGCAAGCGUUGUUCGGAAUUAUUGGGCGUAAAGGGCGCGUAGGCGGUGCGGUAAGUCUGUAGUGAAAUCUCCGAGCUCAACUCGGAGCCUGCUACGGAAACUGCCGUGCUUGAGUGUGGGAGAGGUGAGUGGAAUUCCCGGUGUAGCGGUGAAAUGCGUAGAUAUCAGGAGGAACACCGGUGGCGAAGGCGGCAUCCUGGACUACUACUGACGCUGAGGAGCGAAAGCCAGGGGAGCAAACGGG
rnacentral:rRNA from 1 species